rnacentral:misc_RNA from 1 species
GAUGAAGAACGCAGCGAAAUGCGAUAAGUAAUGUGAAUUGCAGAAUUCAGUGAAUCAUCGAAUCUUUGAACGCACAUUGCGCCCGCCAGCAUUCUGGCGGGCAUACCUGUUCGAGCGUCAUUUCAACCCUCGAGCCCCCCCGGGGGCCUCGGUGUUGGGGGACGGCACACCAGCCGCCCCCGAAAUGCAGUGGCGACCUCGCCGCAGCCUCCCCUGCGUAGUAGCACACACCUCGCACCGGAGCGCGGAGACGGUCACGCCGUAAAACGCCCAACUUCUUAGAGUUGACCUCGGAUCAGGUAGGAAUACCCGCUGAACUUAAGCAUAUCAAUAAGCGGAGGA